rnacentral:rRNA from 1 species
GUGCCAGCCGCCGCGGUAAUACGGAGGGCGCGAGCGUUGUUCGGAAUUAUUGGGCGUAAAGCGCACGUAGGCGGCUCGAUAAGUCUCACUGUGAAAGCCCGGGGCUCAACCCCGGGAGGCCAGGGGAUACUGUCGAGCUGGAGACAAGCAGAGGUUGGUAGAAUUCCGGGUGUAGCGGUGGAAUGCGUAGAGAUCCGGAGGAAUACCAGAGGCGAAGGCGGCCAACUGGGCUUGGUCUGACGCUGAGGUGCGAAAGCGUGGGGAGCGAACAGGAUUAGAUACCCUUGUAGUCC